rnacentral:rRNA from 1 species
CAGUAGCCGCGGGAAUACGUAGGGUGCAAGCGUUAAUCGGAAUUACUGGGCGUAAAGCGCGCGUAGGUGGUUCGCCAAGUUGGAUGUGAAAUCCCCGGGCUCAACCUGGGAACUGCAUCCAAAACUGGCGAGCUAGAGUAUGGUAGAGGGUGGUGGAAUUUCCUGUGUAGCGGUGAAAUGCGUAGAUAUAGGAAGGAACAUCAGUGGCGAAGGCGACCACCUGGACUGAUACUGACACUGAGGUGCGAAAGCGUGAGGAGCAAACAGGAUUAGAUACCCCAGUAGUCCCUGUCUCUUAUAC